UAGAACAGGGCCAACAUUUCACAUCAAGGUCCUGCUGAUCAAAGCACUCUCUCUUUCUGGAAAGAUGUGUUGAGGAUGAAGAAAUGUUCCAGCCCACUAUAUUUAACCCAAAAGAAAAGCUGAAGAGACAGAGCUGGAUGGUAAUUUUUCUUUUUUUGAAAGUCAAAGCUGAUAUAGCAGAACGACCUUGCACAGCCAGCCUUGGUGGGAAAUUGUGCUGCUGAAACCUGUGCUCAGACUCAAGUGUGAACACAGCCAAAGCAACGCAGGAGCAGAGUGAAUGCAGCCUUCCCCAGGGGCUGUGUUUGAAGACCGUAAGGAUAUUCAACCUUUGCGACAACUAGGGAUACUUCAUUUCACCACCUAAUUUCCAGUGCAGAGAAAAGUCUUGAUGCUUGUCUUGAGAGGUGGGUCAAGCCAAGCUGUACUCAAGGCUUUAAGGGCUCAUGGUGCAUUUUUUGGCUUUGUAGGCAGCCAUCAGGGUUUUAGAUCUAACAUAGGCACCCACAGGAAGUCAGGAGAAGAAAUACAGCAGCGGACCGACAUGGGCAAGCUUAACAAGAUUGAAGUCAAGCCAUGUUGCUGCAUCCUGGAUCAAGGAUCAAGUUGUGAGGACCUAAUAGCCCACACAGGAGGACCAGACAGCAGUGAGUUGCAGUAGUAACAAGUUGUUCAGUAAUCUCAAAUAGAUUUGCUUGCCAUCAAUUUAGUAUGUCUAAUUCCUCACACACUUGCCUCAAGUUGUCAAGUAAUUUCAAAUAGACUUGGGUUUUUGGCAUGCGUGCUGUUAUCUACACUGGACAAAAUUACAGACAAAAUACAGAC